rnacentral:rRNA from 1 species
UACAGAGGGCCCGAGCGUUGUUCGGAUUCACUGGGCGUAAAGGGUGCGUAGGUGGCCUGACAAGUUUGGUGUGAAAGCUCAGGGCUUAACCCUGAAAUGGCAUUGAAUACUGUCGGGCUGGAGGUUUGGAGGGGGGACUGGAAUUCUUGGUGUAGCAGUGAAAUGCGUAGAUAUCAGGAGGAACACCAGUGGCGAAGGCGAGUCCCUGGACAACACCUGACACUGAGGCACGAAAGCUAGGGGAGCAAACAGG